GGACCCGGUCAGGGGUUAUCUGAACCCUGAGGCAGAGUACCCGAAAGUUUACUGUUGUAUUACUUAUUAUUGUGUUGUUUGUAUUACAACUGCAGACCUACUUUCGCCAACCCCUGUGCUAGCUUCGCACGCCGUGUCUUCCCUUCAUGAGCGCCCCAGGUUCCAACCACCUCUCUGGGCAGCCCACCCCGAUUUCAGGGACACGCACAGGACAGCAUGGGGCCCUGCAUGGAGUAGGUGCUCUCCACAUACUUGCUGUAGCUGAUGGGGAUCUGCGAGCAUCCUUCCUGCAACCGCAACGGGUGGCACAGGACACAGAACCUGGAAAAUGGAAGUGCUAAAAUCUGCCAGCAUUUUUGGAAGGAUCCCUGGAUCUACCAGCAUUCUCCCCAAGAGAUCUGGAGGACUUCACAGGGAGACGCCUGCCCCUUCGGUCAGUCAUUCUCAGUGGGCUUACGCGGGAGACAAGCAACCAUGGAGGGCCCACUGCGUAGGUCUCUCUGCAGGAAGCUCCGAGGGGACACCCUAGAGCAGUGAUGGAGAACCUAUGACACGUGUGUCAGAGGUGACACGCAAACUCAUUUUUUUGGUUGAUUUUUCUUUGUUA